AGCCAUUUACCGACGUGCUAAUACUGCAGUCGAGCGAACUGAUUGGAAGCUUGCUUCUGUGACGUUCGCGGCGGACGGGAGAAUAACACGUGGGCCCCCUGCCUGUAACAGUGGUAUAUCUUCGGGAAACCGAAGCUAAUACCGGAUAGGAUCUUCUCCUUUGUGGGAGAUGAUUGAAGGAUGGUUUCGGCCAUCUCUUACAGGUGAGCCACGCGAGCGCAUUAUACUAGUCAGGAGGAGGUAAUCGGCUCACCAAUGGCAGACUAUGCUAGGUCACCGACCUGGAGGGGUGGGAUCGGACACUCCGGGACUGACACUACGGCCCAUCGACUCCUACGGAAGGCAGGCAGUAAGGAAUCUUCCGCAAUGGACGAAAGGUCUGACAGAGGCAACCCCGCGUGAGAGAUGAAGGCUUUCAGGAUCGUAAAGCUCUGUUGUUAGGGAAAAACAAGUACUACUAGUAACUAGCUCGUACCUUGCCGGACCCUAACCAGAAAAGCCACGGCUAAUUACGUGGCCAGCACCCGCGGUAAUACUAAGGGUGGCAAGCGUUGUUCCGGAAUAUUUGGGCGUAAAGCGCGCGCCAGGCGGUUUCUUAAGCUUAAGUGGGAAAGCCACCGGCUCAACCGGGGAGGGCCAUUGGAAACUGGGGAAAUUGAGAUGGCAAAAAAGAAAAGACUGGAAUUUCCACGUGUACCGGUGAAAAGCCGUAAAAAUGGGAGGAACACCCGUGGGCAAAGGCGGAGUUUUUGGGCUUGUAACUGACCCUGAGGCCCAAAACGGGGGGAACAAACAAGAUUUAAUUCCCUGGUUAGUCCCCCGCCGUAAAAGAAGAAGUGCUAAGUGUUAGAGGGUUUUCCGCCCUUUAGUGCUGCAACUAACGCAUUAAGCACUCCUUCGCCUGGGGAAUACGGUCCCAAGGACUGAAAAUCAAAGGAAUUGACCGGGGGCCCGCCACAACCGGUGGGAGCAUGUGGGUUAAAUUGAAGCAACCCGAAGAACCUUUCCCGGUUUUGACAUUCUUUGGCAAAUCUAGAGAAUGAGCGUUCCCCUUCGGGGGCCAGAGUGCCAGGUGGGGCAGGGUUUUGGUCAGUUGGGUUCGGGAGAUGUUGGGUUAAGUCCCCCAAGGAGCCCAACCCUUGUUUUUAGUUGCCACCAUUUAGUUGGCCAUUUUAAGGGGACUGCCGGGGCCAACCCGGAGGAAGGGGGGGAGGAGGUCAAUUCUUCAUGCCCCUUAGGCCCUGGGUUCCCCACGUGUUCCAAUGGAUGGUCCAAAGGGAUGCAAGCCCGGGAGGUCAAGCCAAUCCCAUAAAACCAUUUUCAGUUGGGAUUCUAGGUGGCAAUUGGCCUACAGGAAGCGGGAAUCGUUAGUAAUCGGGGUUCACCAGCCCGCGGGGAAUACGUUCCCGGCCUUUGUCCACCCCGCCCGUCACCCCACGAGAGUUGUACCACCGAAAGUCGUGGAGUAACCGUAAGAGCCAGCCGCCUAAGUACCAAUAUUUAUUGU
rnacentral:rRNA from 1 species